rnacentral:pre_miRNA from 1 species
AUUGUACUCCCUCCGUUCGGAAUUACUUGUCGAAGAAAUGGAUGUAUCUAGACAUAUUUUAGUUCUAGAUACAUCCAUUUUUGAGACAAGUAAUUCCGAAUGGAGGGAGUAUAUG